rnacentral:tRNA from 1 species
AACAAAAUAUCUGAAAGAUAUUAACUGUAAAUUAAUUGUUGAGGCCCCCUCUUUUGUUA